rnacentral:rRNA from 1 species
GACGAACGCUGGCGGCGUGCUUAACACAUGCAAGUCGAACGGAAAGGCCCUGCUUUUGUGGGGUGCUCGAGUGGCGAACGGGUGAGUAACACGUGAGUAACCUGCCCUUGACUUUGGGAUAACUUCAGGAAACUGGGGCUAAUACCGGAUAGGAGCUCCUGCUGCAUGGUGGGGGUUGGAAAGUUUCGGCGGUUGGGGAUGGACUCGCGGCUUAUCAGCUUGUUGGUGGGGUAGUGGCUUACCAAGGCUUUGACGGGUAGCCGGCCUGAGAGGGUGACCGGGCAGAGGGGGAAAGAGGUAAGGCAGGGAGGCAUAAGGGGGGAAGCAGGGGGGGAGAGUGCACAAUGGGGGGAAGACGGAUGCAGCAAAGGCGGGUGGGGGAUGGAGGCCGUCGGGUUGGAAAACGGUUGCGCCGGUGAAGAAGCGUGAGGGAGGGGAAGGGGUAAAGAAGAACCGGCGAAAUAAGUG